UACGGAGGGUGCAAGCGUUAAUCGGAAUUACUGGGCGUAAAGCGCACGCAGGUGGCUGAGUCAGUCGAUUGUGAAAGCCCUGGGCUUAACCGGGGAACUGCGUCCGAUACUGGAUGGCUUGAGUUUGGGAGAGGGAUGCGGAAUUCCAGGUGUAGCGGUGAAAUGCGUAGAUAUCUGGAGGAACACCGGUGGCGAAGGCGGCAUCCUGGACCAACACUGACGCUGAUGAGCGAAAGCCAGGGGAGCAAACGGG
rnacentral:rRNA from 1 species